UGAAAUUGGAUAACAGUUUUUCGUAUAAUCUCGGGAAUUGGCCUGAGAGUUUCUACGAGAUCACCGCAAAUGAUCUGGCUACGAAAAAAAGGAACGGUAUC
rfam:Paenibacillus sp. Soil750 contig_21, whole genome shotgun sequence.